AGGGCACCACCAGGAGUGGAGCCUGCGGCUUAAUUUGACUCAACACGGGAAAACUCACCCGGCCCGGACACUGGAAGGAUUGACAGAUUGAGAGCUCUUUCUUGAUUCAGUGGGUAGUGGUGCAUGGCCGUUCUUAGUUGGUGGAGUGAUUUGUCUGGUUAAUUCCGAUAACGUACGAGACUCUAGCCUAUUAAAUAGAUCGUUGGCCUACAAACGCCGGCGAGACUUCUUAGAGGGACAGGCGGCGAUUCAGCCGCACGAAACAGAGCAAUAACAGGUCUGUGAUGCCCUUAGAUGUCCGGGGCCGCACGCGCGCUACACUGAAGUGAUCAGCGUGCAUUUUGAAACCUACUCUGUCAAGAGUGGGGAACCCAAUGAACCUUCUUCGUGAUUGGGAUAGGGGAUUGUAAUUAUUCCCCUUGAACGAGGAAUUCCCAGUAAGCGCGAAUCAUAAGUUUGCGCUGAUUACGUCCCUGCCCUUUGUACACACCGCCCGUCGCUACUACCGAUUGAAUGUUU
rnacentral:rRNA from 1 species